rnacentral:lncRNA from 1 species
GGUCUGUAGCUCCAGUUAGAACUCAAAAACCGAACAGUAUUCUGGGUUGACUAGACCAGCCCAAUUUCAACCAAUUCAAUAAUUAAACACCUGCAAAAUACCAAGAAUUUUCAAGAAUUAAAUAAAUAUAAAAGACACCUAAAUUCUAGACAAAUGAGCUAAGAACAUACAAAACACUCUAAAACAAAAUAAUUAAGACUAAGAAAAUGUGUGAAAUAAAUUCCCACGUCAAUCACA